AAUUUGACCUCAAAUCAGGUAGGACUACCCGCUGAACUUAA
rnacentral:rRNA from 4 species